rnacentral:rRNA from 1 species
AGCAGCCGCGGUAAUUCCAGCUCCAAUAGCGUAUAUUAAAGUUGUUGCAGUUAAAAAAGCUCGUAGUUGAAUUUCGGGAUCAGUACGCCGGUCGUGCCUCCGGUAUGUACUGGUGUUACUGGUUCCUACCUUCUGACGAACCGUCAUGUCAUUAAUUUGGUGUGGCGGGGAAUCAGGACUGUUACUUUAGAAAAAAUUAGAGUGUUUAAAGCAGGCUCGCGCUUGAAUACAUUAGCAUAGAAUAAUGAAAUAGGACGUUCGAUCCUAUUUUGUUGGUUUCUAGGAUCGACGUAAUGAUUAAUAGGGAUAGUUGGGGGCAUUAGUAUUCAAUUGUCAGAGGUGAAAUUCUUGGAUUUAUUGAAGACUAACUACUGCGAAAGCAUUUGCCAAGGAUGUUUUCAUUAAUCAAGAACGAAAGUUAGGGGAUCGAAGACGAUCAGAUACCGUCGUAGUCUUAACCAUAAACUAUGCCGACUAGGGAGUCGGAUGAUGUUAAUUUUAUAAUGACUCAUUCGGCGUA